rnacentral:rRNA from 1 species
UGAGGAACAUGACCUUCGGCGGGGGGUAGCCGGCCCAACGGCCGGGUAAUACCGCGUACGACCACAUGGGGACAUCCCUGAGUGGUGAAAGCAGCAAUGCGCCGAUGGAGUGCCUCGCGGCCUAUCAGCUAGUUGGUGAGGUAACGGCUCACCAAGGCGACGACGGGUAGCUGGUCUGAGAGGAUGGCCAGCCACAUUGGGACUGAGACACGGCCCAGACUCCGUAGGGACGG